rnacentral:rRNA from 1 species
AUGACGUCAAGUCCUCAUGGCCUUUAUGACCAGGGCUACACACGUACUACAAUGGCAGGUACAAAGGGCAGCCACUUAGCGAUAAGGCGCGAAUCCCGUAAAACCUGUCUCAGUCCGGAUUGGAGUCUGCAACUCGACUCCAUGAAGUUGGAAUCGCUAGUAAUCGCAGAUCAGCACGCUGCGGUGAAUACCGGUUCCCGGGCCUU